rnacentral:rRNA from 1 species
UUUCUUGCACUUCCGCCUAUAUACCGCCGUCGUAAGCUUACCCUGUGAAGGUGCCCAUAGUGAGCAAAGUUAGUAUCGCCCCACACGUCAGGUCGAGGUGUAGCAUAUGUAAAGGAAUGAGAUUGGCUACAUUUACUAUCAGUAGUAAAUUACGGAUGAUGCCCUGAAACACCGCAUCUGAAGGUGGAUUUAGUAGUAAGUAAAAAACAGUGUGUUUUACUGAAACUUGGCUAUGAAGCGUGCACACACCGCCCGUCACUCUCCCCAUAAAAACUUUUUGACUUAAACUAUACAACCUAAAACGCUAAGGGGAGACAAGUCGUAACAUGGUAAGUGUACCGGAAGGUGCACUUGGAUCAUUGAGAGUACAACUGAAUAUAAGUAACUAAGCCACACAAGGAAAUUCCAUGCAAACGGACUACUCUCUAGAUGUACAAUGUACAUCAUCCAAAAUUAUGUGGACCCAGAUAACCUCUUUCUCCACACUUAACACUUAUAUUUAACAUUAGCCCAAAACAGAUCUCAUAACCAGGCAUGUAGUAGAGAACAGACAUUACAUCUUGCUGUCAACAAGAGAAUGUCCAUGCAAACCGAACUAUACCUGGCUAAGUCCC